rnacentral:tRNA from 1 species
GCCUACGUGGUGCAGUGGUCAGCGCAUUCGAUACGUAACGAGGAGGUUCGUGGUUCGAUUCCCGGCGAAGGCG